CCCUUUUUUUGUCCCAAUUUCUAAGCUAGCCCAAAGGCGCUAUGAGAAGGAUGUCAGGCAACGAAACGGGCGGAGGACCACAAAGCGUGCCGUGGAAAGCUCUCAAUCAGUGACUCACUUGGCAUCGCGUCUGGAAUACGUCACCUGGGAGGGACGGCGAGGACGGCAGAGGGUGCGAGGGGAAGAAAAUUGGAAGGAGCGACGUCUGCUGCAGUAGCAAGGGCCAUCCAUCGCUUCGAAGUCAGCGAUCAUGCACAGAUGGAGUGCUUGUGGAGAUGAGUAAAAUGACAGAGGCGAGGCGCAAAGAGAGUAAGUGGCCAAAUGUUUGGCCAUCCACAACUGCCUAAUGGAGGAACAUAUUGUAUCACACCAAAACAAAAUCAGAGGAAAACGGGAAGUUAAUUGACUUGAGUAGCAAUUGCAAUCUGGGCAUUUUCCCCACCGGAUGGCUUUUUUUGAUGGGGCGGGGGUUCCCCUCCGACAUCGUUUAUAUUCACUGCGGAAAUUAUGUGUUCAGUGGGACCUAGGCAGUCUGUUCUCAUCCGCGGAUCUGCUCGAAAAAAACGGUCGCGCCAGCAAUCGUAAAUGCUUAUCGCAAAUCCACAUGUGGGCGUUCCUCACCGAGUUGGGCCGCAGAUGCCAUGAU